rnacentral:snRNA from 1 species
CAAAUCACAAGUCUGGGUUGUGUACAGUCCACAGUCUAGAGUGCAUGGCGCUCCGGCGGACAUCCGCGAACUCCCCAAAUGUGGGAAUCUCGACUGCACAAUUUCUGGUAGUGGGGGACUGCGUACGCGCUCUCCCCUG